UCUAAAAUCAAAUGAAUAUAUAAAGCGAAAUAAUCGUCACAUCUUAACUUCUUUCUAAAGUGUUUAUAGAUAACACCUCCAUAUUAUAAACAGGCAACCAUUAUCGUUAAUUUAGUAAUCUUGGUAAAUAUUUCUCACUCGCUAAAUGGUUUGAGAUACUUAAACUUAUUCGAUGCUCAGAUCGACACUGUCUUCGCAGCUAUAUCGGUGUUAAAGUACGACGACAUCGAAAUCAUUGUCACGGGAACUGGCUGGCCGUCGAAAGGAGACGAGAACGAAGUUGGAGCCACCUUACCUAACGCAGCGUCUUACAACGGAAACCUAAUCCGUAGGAUCUUGACAUGUGGUGGUAUACUGUUACGUCCUAAACAAGAUCUAACGGUCUAUCUUUUUGCUCUGUUUAACGAGAACAAGAGCAACCUGGUGCUAAUUGUUAUAGUCCUGCUACACUUGAAGCUUAUUAGUUAUUAUCAGAAGAAAGGUCGCGUCGGUGGGAGUUGUUACUUCGGCGGCGCUUACGUCGUUAGCCAACCACCAAAGUAUGGAAAAUGCGAGUUUCCGACAGGAUACUAAAGAAGAAGAUUUGAGUUAUUUUUAGGGUAAAUUCCUUCUUGCUUAUAUAUUAUAUAUAAUUUGUAUUUUGAUGUAAUUUGUUUUGGUUGUAAAUUUUUUGUUAAUUUUUGUAACUUCUAACUCUUUUUUUUUUUUUUAUGUUGGAUUGUUAAUAUCAACUGAGACUAUGUUCUUGAUAUUAAGUAUUUGAGGUUUUUCAAAAGUAAUUGAGGUUUUUCAAAAGUAUUUGAGAUCAUGAAAAUUAUUAAUGUUGGUUAAGAUACAUAAGUCGAGAAAUGUUUAUGGUGGCUACAUUAUUAUACAUGUCAUUAUUUUUUACUUUUUAUGUGGGUUUCACAUGUCAUCUCAACGACUUUCCGACUCAUAAAAUGAAGCCACUUGAAGAAUACAAUGAGCAUACAUAUAGUUUCAUUUGCUCUGUUCUACUUGACUAAGCGAAGUGCCACCUGAAAGGAAGAAAAGAAGAGACAGAAACAAAAGCCGAAAGGAGUCUCCUCUCCCCAAAUACACUACAUCUAUCUUAACAUUUGUAAUCACCUUUAGUUUCAAUUUUCUUUCCCACCGAAUAUCCUUAGUACAAAGCUAAUUAGCAAA